UACAGAGGUCUCAAGCGUUGUUCGGAUUCAUUGGGCGUAAAGGGUGCGUAGGCGGCGCGGUAAGUCGGGUGUGAAAUCUCGGAGCUUAACUCCGAAACUGCAUUCGAUACUGCCGUGCUUGAGGACUGGAGAGGAGACUGGAAUUUACGGUGUAGCGGUGAAAUGCGUAGAUAUCGUAAGGAAGACCAGUGGCGAAGGCGGGUCUCUGGACAGUUCCUGACGCUGAGGCACGAAAGGUCAGGGGGAGCAAACGGG
rnacentral:rRNA from 1 species